UCAGGGAUACCACUUAUCCUGCAUAGUUGCAGGGAACCUGGAGCCUAUCCCAGGGAGCAUCAGGCACAAAGUGGGGUACAUCCUGGAUGGGGUGCCAAUCCAUCGCAGGGUACAAUCUCAGACACAUUCACACACUAUGGACACUUUGGACAUGCCAAUCAGCUUGUCAUGCAUGUCUUUGGGAGGAAACGGAGAACCCGGUGGAAACCCCUACCGCAGGGAGAACAUGCAAGCUUCGCACACACAGUGGGCCAGCAGUGGGAAUCAAACCCCCAACCCUGGAGGCGUGAGGCGAAUGUACUAACCACUAAGCCACUGUGCACCUGGCUUUGAAAGAAAUGCAAAAUUAGAUGAAGAAAAAAAUCCAGACUGGAAUGUAAUUGACGUGGCCAUGGAUUCAACUUGCUCUGCAAGAGGAAAAGAAAUUGUAGAUGAGCCCCCUGUCUCGGAAAUAAGAAACAGAUGUCCUGCUUUUUUCACUUAUAGACAAGGCUUGAUCAGCACCUCCCAUGACUCCUGCAGUUCUACAACACCAAGAGAGUCAGUGAAAUACCAGAAAUCCAAAAUAUGAUGUGCCUUGAUAAAAAGGUAAGUCUAAUGAACUUCACAGUUAGUUAUGGUCAACAAAUGUGCCGAUAUCAAGCAUAACAGCACUGAUAGUUGCUGAUGAAAUAAACAUACACAGUAGAGCUGUCGCAAUUAAUAAAUAAACUUAUGAAUACGAUUACUUCAUGACCAUAGACAAAACUCUGUAAAUGUCAAAUCUUUUGUUGAAAUUCAGAUGACACCACUGAUAUAAAGAAUCUUCAACAACCAAGUUCUGCAGAAAGAUCUGCAAAUUUUGAAACCCUGUCAUUUGCCAAAGUUCUACAACAGGCAAGUUUGUAAUCUGUGUUUGGCGUAACACCAGUAACACCAACUAUUGCGGCAAGUCUAGCUGCUAAAAAUAGCACACUUUAGACCAGGUCCUGAGCAACAAUGUAAAAGUUAUUAAGAGAUCAUUUAGGCAGGCAAGCUUAGCUGCUAAAAAGAACACACUUUAGACCAGGUCCUGAGCAAUAAUGCAAAAGUUAUUAAGAGAUCAUUUAGGCACGAGAGAACACUUGAUUUGAACUUGUGCACCAUUAAAC
ensembl:lncRNA